ACGCAUUAAGCACUCCGCCUGGGGAGUACGGCCGCAAGGCUGAAACUCAAAGGAAUUGACGGGGGCCCGCACAAGCGGUGGAGCAUGUGGUUUAAUUCGAAGCAACGCGAAGAACCUUACCAGGUCUUGACAUCCUCUGACAACCCUAGAGAUAGGGCUUCUCCUUCGGGAGCAGAGUGACAGGUGGUGCAUGGUUGUCGUCAGCUCGUGUCGUGAGAUGUUGGGUUAAGUCCCGCAACGAGCGCAACCCUUGAUCUUAGUUGCCAUCAUUAAGUUGGGCACUCUAAGGUGACUGCCGGUGACAAACCGGAGGAAGGUGGGGAUGACGUCAAAUCAUCAUGCCCCUUAUGACCUGGGCUACACACGUGCUACAAUGGACGGUACAAAGAGCUGCAAGACCGCGAGGUGGAGCUAAUCUCAUAAAACCGUUCUCAGUUCGGAUUGUAGGCUGCAACUCGCCUACAUGAAGCUGGAAUCGCUAGUAAUCGCGGAUCAGCAUGCCGCGGUGAAUNNNUUCCCGGGCCUUGUACACACCGCCCGUCACACCACGAGAGUUUGUAACACCCGAAGUCGGUGGGGUAACCUUU
rnacentral:rRNA from 1 species